GAUGAAGAAGUAGCGAAAUGCGAUAAGUAAUGUGAAUUGCAGAAUUCAGUGAAUCAUCGAAUCUUUGAACGCACAUUGCGCCCCUUGGUAUUCCGAGGGGCAUGCCUAUUCGAGCGUCAUUAUCACCCCUCAAGCCUAGCUUGGUGUUGAGGCCUGCUGUCAAGGCAGCCUCUAAAAUCAGUGGCAGUGCUGUCAGGCUCUAAGCGUAGUAAAUCUAAUCGCUAUAGACACCUGGUGGACACUCGCCAGAACCCCCCCAUUUUUUAAUGAUUGACCUCGGAUUAGGUAGGGAUACCCGCUGAACUUAAGCAUAUCAAUAAGCGGAGGA
rnacentral:misc_RNA from 1 species